CCAUGAGAUCCUGACCUAAGCUGAAGUCAGAAGCUCAACCGACUGAGCCACUCAGGUGCCCCUGAAAGAGACCGCUUUAUCUUCAUGUAUAGAAAAAUGAGUUAUUGCUGGAAUCCUCCACAUUCGUAAAGCACGUCUCUCCCCAUCACUAAAUGGAUCUUCUGAGCAGGUCCUGCUGCGAAUGACUCUCCAGCCUCCCCGGGGACACUGGACCUUGCUGUGCCCCACCCUGCAGCUAGAUCCUUCUGUGAUAUGAGUACAAUGGUUCUACUUCCUGUCACCAUCUCAGGGGCGUCAUUUAAACCCAAGGUCAUCCAAAAAGUUACAGCCUGCACCUGCCCCCCACCCUCCAUGGCUGUCAGAAGAUACUGUACCCUUCCUCUGCUUCUAUUCUGGUCGCCCUUGUCCCUCCCUUGGUAAAAGACUCCCACUGGAAUCAGUAAAGGCAGGACCGGCAAAGCCAAGGGUGCUACAAGCCAUCCCUUUGUUCUGAGGACAGCUAGUUCCAAGAAGCGCUCUCUUAAAAAUGGGAACACCCUCAAGGGGAAGUCACCUGAAACGCAAAAUACCUCUGUGAAAAGGAGAAGCAGAUUCUACUGUAACUAACUCUGUGACCUUGGGCUUGAAGCCAUCUUUCUUCAAGUCUCAGCUUCCUCAUCCAAGAAAGGGGAGCUUGGACUGGACCUAUUUCUUCAGUUUCUGCAGGUUGAGAGAUUGCUUUGUGAAUCUGAUGAAAGUCACAGACUAUCUCCCUACAAUGGUGCACGUGUGCAAAUUAAAAACUAUAUAUAG